rnacentral:rRNA from 1 species
GUGCCAGCCGCCGCGGUAAUACGGAGGGUGCGAGCGUUAAUCGGAAUUACUGGGCGUAAAGCGCAUGCAGGUGGUUUGUUAAGUCAGAUGUGAAAGCCCGGGGCUCAACCUCGGAAUUGCAUUUGAAACUGGCAGGCUAGAGUACUGUAGAGGGGGGUAGAAUUUCAGGUGUAGCGGUGAAAUGCAUAGAGAUCUGAAGGAAUACCGGUGGCGAAGGCGGCCCCCUGGACAGAUACUGACACUCAGAUGCGAAAGCGUGGGGAGCAAACAGGAUUAGAAACCCCCGUAGUCC